CUCUGACACUCCCAUACGGUGACGUCUGAAUCGCCUUUCUAAAGGUCACAUAAGGAGAAGACUCCAAAACACACAGGUGCUUGGGACUUUGAAACCGAAAACUUCUGGCAAACACAAGCCUGUCUGCAGGUGUGGCCUGAAAGCAGAUAUAAAAAUACCUUGCUGGGAGAUAAUUCUCCAUAGACCUGGUGUUUCUGCAUAUCUUCUAAGUAUUGAGAGCUUUGUUCAAGAACGUUCUCACAACAGGCAGCCUUGGGAAGGUGAAAAUAGUCUCUCUCUAGAGACAUCGCUGCGGGCAGACAUUCCAGGGCAACGAAGCCAGACACAUCGGCUGCCCUCCCCGGAGAAGCCUUGGCGGUAAAGGAGACGUGUCUCUCUGGAGGCGGGAGGGGCUGGGGCGGAGGCAGCCCCCCCAAGGUCAGGGUCUCCUCAUCACAACUUUCUCGGCUACGACACGGCAUACCCACCUGAACUGCUUCUGCUUCCCCCUGGGGGGGGGGAAGAGGAACCGCUGUGGACACGAAGCUCAUGUGGUCCACGUGGCCGCCGAGGCCCUUUGUUUCCUGACCAGCCACGUGUACGGAGGUCCCGGACCAUCUCACCGUCUGAAUAAAAGGAGAAGUGUCGGGGGGGAGGCCCGAAAGUGUUCUGGACGGAGCGGUGUGGUCACUGGCAACCCGCUGCCAGAUUGAUCGAUACCGUCGCCACGGGCGUGGCCGGGUCACCUUUGUCAGGUCGCUACACCCGAGAGCGUCACAUUCAACUGUCAUUGCAGUUUACCAACCUUCGGCCUCAAGACGUCCACCCUCCUUGUGACCUCCUCCACCAUUUCUAGGCGUGAGCAUUCGGGGGUCCUAAAAUGGACCCGGACAGCAGGAUUCUGGGGGGUUGGCGGGUCUCCCUUUAUUAGACGUUAAUUGGGACUCUAAUCACUACCCAAGUGGAGCUUCAUUCAUUUGGCCGCAGUCAAAGGUGUAAAAACAAAUCAGGGAAGGGAAUUAUAGUCUUGAGCAGUGA